UCUAUUACAUUGAUUUUCAGUCCCUCUCUAAUCCUCUUGAUCAUGCCCCCUUCCCAAGACUAUCUCAAACACUCAGACACGCUCAAGUCGAUCUCCUCCAUGACGAUUCAUGGACUAUCUCAGAGACGCUCUCUUCGCUUCUCCUAAAGUGACGAUUCACAAAAUUGAUUUCUCCAAGACGUCGAUUCAACCGAUUCAAGAAUCAAGACCAUAUAUCAAGGUCCUUCAAUGCUUCAUUCGGCCAUCCUAGAUUCCAUACGAUUAGGGUUUUUUAAUUCAAUGACUCCAUCACUAUUAUAAAUAGUUAGUUUUUAUUUUCAUCAUUCCCUUCUUCAAAAUGUUGCGUUUUAGGGUUUGAAUCACCCUAUUUCACCACCAAAAUGGGUUCAAAUCUUUCUUCCCCUAAUGUUUGUAACAUGCUUAAGGUUUAGUCCGCCUUUCCCAUCGCUUUCCAGGUUAAGGUGAUUAGUCGAGUCUGAGAUUCCGCAAUAAGCAGGCACAUGAGGAAGACCAUAUAAGUGGAGUCCAUUGUCCAUGUGAAGGGUUCGCAUGGUUCUGUAUGUAGCUUCCUUACUCUUAUCCAUCAAUUCAAACUUGAAAUAGAACACAAGGAAAGCUGCAAUUAUUUUCAUCUGUCUAUAUGCAGAUUCUUUCCCUAAGCAUAUCCUUGGCCCAGCCUAAAUAAGUGCAUUAUCAUGAUUCAUGGUAACAACAAAUAUGCAUUUAUAUAUCAACUCAAGAGAGUAUUGUAUGUUUUCUGUUACUUAGCUGAAAGCAGUAAAUUUGAAAGGGCUUUCAGGCUGGAAAAUGGUAUCAUGGAGCCAUCUUUCUCGCUGGAAUUCUUCUGCAUCUUCUCUCCAAAUAUAUGUCAUCCUUCCCAUUGGAUACGCCAUGUAACCUACUUUAUCUCCUUUCUUUAUUUUGAACUCAUCCGGUAGAAUAUCAUCUCUCUCUGAACACUUGCCGUCCUGACUAAAAAUUACAAGAAUUAAAGCAAGUAUUAGUUACAAGAAGCCCUUGAUCGUCUUUGGAUCUGGUAUGAGAUGUUGUAGUCUUUUAGAAACUUUGACAUAACUAAUGAAUUCAUGUUCACUUUGUUUGUUGAUGACUAUAGGAAUAGAAAAUGGAACAUCAUGUUUCUAAUAUGUAAACUUUUGCAGAUCCGUUUGAAGUUUACAAGUUCACUGAGAACUAUGAACCACAGUUUAUAUUUGUAGAUUGUUCGCUCUUUCUACAACUUAAAACUUUGGGAACUACUUCAUGAUGUUUUGAUGGGAUAUUGCACGUGCUCAAAAUCUAUCUGGGAUCAUUUGAAAUGUAAUAGUAUGUUACUCAUUUUUAAUUGGGUUUUGAAAGAUGUAACACGAUUUCAAAUUAAGUCAUUCGAAAGUCUACUCCAAAUAUAUUUUGGGUAGACAAAUUCUUUUUGUAAAUUUAUGUCAUGUAUAAUUUUGUAAAUUUUAAUUAUUUUGAAUAUAAAAUAGAUGGGAAAUAUGUUGAAGAGGGUUGUGUUGUCAUAGAAAGGAUUGAUGGGAAGAUUUAUUGUUGAAGAGA